rnacentral:misc_RNA from 1 species
AAAGUCGUAACAAGGUUUCCGUAGGUGAACCUGCGGAAGGAUCAUUACUGAGUAUAAGAGGUUUACAAGCUCGCAAGAGUGAGUACUCCUUUCUUCUCUUCACCCUUUGUUAUUAUUACUUAGUUGCUUUGGUAGAAUGCUUUGGCGUCUACCAAGGGACCUUAUAAACACUUUGUUAUCCAAUAAUUGGUUGUCUAAUGUCUGAUUUUUAUAACUUUAAUAAGUAAAUAAAACUUUCAACAACGGAUCUCUUGGUUCUG